GAUGAACGCUGGCGGCGUGCCUAAUACAUGCAAGUCGAGCGAACAGACGAGGGGCUUGCUCCUCUGACGUUAGCGGCGGACGGGUGAGUAACACGUGGAUAACCUACCUAUAAGACGGGGAAAACUUCGGGAAAACGGAGAAAAUACCGGAACAUAUAUUGAACCGCAUGGUUCAAUAGUGAAAGACGGUUUUGCUGUCACUUGUAGAUGGUUCCGCGCAGCAUUAGCUAGUUGGUAAGGUAACGGCUUACCAAGGCAACGAUGCGUAGCCGACCUGGGAGGGGGAUCGGCCACACUGGAACUGAGACACGGUCCAGACUCCUACGGGAGGCAGCAGUAGGGAAUCUUCCGCAAUGGGCGAAAGCUUGACGGAGCAACGCCGCGUGAGUGAUGAAGGUCUUCGGAUCGUAAAACUCUGUUAUUAGGGAAGAACAAAUGUGUAAGUAACUAUGCACGUCUUGACGGUACCUAAUCAGAAAGCCACGGCUAACUACGUG
rnacentral:rRNA from 1 species